UGAAAUUCUUUCAGCACAUGAACUAUUGUGUGAUGAAAACAAUGUGUAUUUACUACAAUGUGUAAAUCAACAAUAAGUUUGUUGCAAAGAAGAUUCAAAGUGGGUGGUUAAAGUGAUCAACAACUGCCGUUUUUGUUUUUUUGGAAUGCUGAAGAACAGCUGUAACAGGUUAAACCCCAAGGUGAAAUUUACAUUGAUCGGAAGAUCCAUUGGACAGAAUGUGCAUCAUCGCCUGCCAAAAAAGGGAGCAAAAAGGGGACUACCUGAUGUAUGGACAUGUAUACCAGGCCAACUUGAGGGGAACAGGAGUGGGAAACCGUGCCCUGUAGCUUGUCCUUGACCAAGAAAAGAUGGAUUUGUUGAGAGGACCUGAUCUCAAAUGAGAUCAUGCACGAGAAGCGCCUCGCAGACCAUGACAGUAGUAUUCAGACCUGGUCAGCUGGUGAAGUGCUCUAUAAAGGGUUGUUUAUGAAUGCAUUCUUUGUAAGAAACAGUGUAUAACAACAAAUAUAGUGACAGGGGCUAAGCUGCUAAAUAUUGUCAGCAUGUAUGCAGUGAUUUUCUUUGGAAAUUCAAAACAACCUGUACGUACUGGCUCUCAGAAGGGCAUGUUUUAGCGCAAUAAUGAACAAAAAAAGGAAGAUCUUAAAAAUAAGGUAUAGAUUUAUAUAAAUUUCAUGAAUACUGUUCAUUUAUCAUAUAUUAGGAUCCAGAAUAUGAUUGAAUUAAAUGUACUGCUUUUGUCCAUAUUAAAAAGGAAUUAAUGUAAUAUAAAAAAAUCUAGUAAAUGAUAGGGAAAACAUUUCAGCUUAAGGAGGGGAAAUCUUUAAUAUUUUUGAAGUGGAAACCACCUGUAUUUGGCUGUUAAUCAGUUACCGAUAAUCAGGGGGGAGAAAAAUCACUGGUAUGAGCUUGAUAUUUUCAAUUGUUAAUUCCAGAUAGGCAAUAGCCCGUUUGAAUCCUCUCUUUUAUGUAGAUAUGUAACAUUUGUUUUUGUUUUUUAAGGUUUAACAUUCUAAUAAAAGUGUGUAUUUAUCUAUUGAAUUGUACUUUUUGUUUUUUAUGUAUGUGUUUACACUAACCUUUCAUUUAAAGAAUGAAUGCUGACUUCAAAAUGCUGGGAUUUUUUUUAAAUUUGGUUAAUUUUUAAGCAUAUUAAUUUGAAGUGAUGAAAAGUACACUUGAGCGUAUAAUGCGCUUCAAAAAUUCACUUCCAACACUUCAAAAAGUGUAUCAUUUGUAUGACUGAAAAUGCACUCAAGUGUAUUAAUGCGCUUAAAAAUUCACUUUUAAUAUUGUAAGGUGUAUUAUUUGUAUGACCGGGAAUGCACUCAAGUGUAUUAAUGCGCUUAAAAAAAAUCACUUUCAAUUUUGUAAGGUGUAUUAUUUGUAUCAGUGGAAAUGCACUCAAGUGUAUUAAUGCGCUUACAAAAAUUCACUUUGAAUACUCAAUGAAGUGUAUUAUUUGUAUGACUGAAAAUGCACUCAAGUGUAUUAAUGCGCUUAAAAAUUCACUUUUAAUAUUGUAAGGUGUAUUAUUUGUAUGACCGGGAAUGCACUCAAGUGUAUUAAUGCGCUUAAAAAAAUUCACUUUCAAUUUUGUAAGGUGUAUUAUUUGUAUCAGUGGAAAUGCACUCAAGUGUAUUAAUGCGCUUACAAAAAUUCACUUUGAAUACUCAAUGAAGUGUAUUAUUUGUAUGACUGGAAAUGCACUCAAGUGUAUUAAUGCGCUUAAAUAAUUUGCUUUUAAUUCUGUAAUGUGUAUUAUUUGAAUGACUGGAAAUGCACUCAAGUGUAUAAAUGCGCUUUAAAAAAUUUACUUUGACCAUGAAGUGUAUUAUUUGUAUGUCUUAAAAUACACUCAAGUGUAUAAAUGCACUUAAAAAUAAACUUAAGCGCACUUAUUAUCAUAAUAAACGCACUUAAGUGUAUUAUUUCGUGGAAAAAAAAUACACUUAAAUGUAUAAACACACUAGUAAAAAGUGUUUUUUUUUAACAGAUUAAAAUGCACUUGUUAAGCAAAAAAUACG